AAGAGGAAGAGACACCAGGGAUGCAUGCACGCGGAGAAAAGACCAUGUGAGGACACAUAAGAAGGUGGCCAUUGAUAAGUCAAAGAGAGAUGCCUCAGGAGAAAACCACCGUGCUGGCACCUUGCAGCCUCCAGAACUGUGAGAAAUAAAGCUGGCAGCCAUUCUUGAUGUCGACCAGGAUUCACGCUCCUAGAUGUUGCAUGACUUGGAAUACAUUUGAGCUGCCUCUCCUGGAGUGGACGCUGUUUGGAUCGAUGCUAAUCCGCAGCUUCGGGAUUUGGGCUGCUGGCCCUUCUUUGUUAAGAGGCAGGAUUUGAAGCCAAUAUUCACAAGAUGAAGUUUGGAUGAAGAGCAACACAAGAGGGUAUAAAACACUGUCACAUUUUUUCAUGCCAGCAAAUAUUUCUUCCUCGUAUUAUUUCUUUAAAUAGCUCUUCACAAUAAGCAACCUCGGGGAAUAACAAGUCCGAAAAGAAGAACCGGGCCAAGCACAGGUAUUUAAUAUCUAUCCACCCACCUACCCACCCGUCUGUCUCUUUCCUCUCAUUACAUU